GGAAUGUGGCUCAGUGGUAGAGCACUCACCUCGAAUGUGGGAGGCACUGGGUUUGAUCCUCAGCGCCA
rnacentral:tRNA from 1 species